ACUGAUGAGUAACGCGUGGGUGACCUACCUUGAGGAUGGGGAUAGCUGUUAGAAAUAGCAGGUAAUACCGAAUACGUUCACAAUAUUAUGAUUAUGUGAAGAAAGGAGCUACGGCUCCGCCUUGAGAUGGGCCCGCGUCCCAUUAGCUAGUUGGUGAGGUAAAGGCCCACCAAGGCGAAGAUGGGUAGCCGGCCUGAGAGGGUGAACGGCCACACUGGGACUGAGAUACGGCCCAGACUCCUACGGGAGGCAGCAGCUAAGAAUAUUCCACAAUGGACGAAAGUCUGAUGGAGCGACGCCGCGUGGAUGACGAAGGCCGAAAGGUUGUAAAAUCCUUUUGCGGAUGAAGAAUAAGCGGUGGAGGGAAUGCCAUCGUGAUGACGUUAGUCCGCGAAUAAGCCCCGGCUAAUUACGUGCCAGCAGCCGCGGUAACACGUAAGGGGCAAGCGUUGUUCGGAAUUAUUGGGCGUAAAGGGCGCGUAGGCGGCCGCGUAAGUCUGAUGUGAAAACCCCGGGCUCAACCCGGGAACUGCAUUGGAAACUGUGCGGCUUGAGUCACGGAGGGGAAAUCGGAAUUCCUGGUGUAGGGGUGAAAUCUGUAGAUAUCAGGAAGAACACCGGUGGCGAAGGCGGAUUUCCAGCCGAUGACUGACGCUGAGGCGCGAAAGUGCGGGGAGCAAACAGGAUUAGAUACCCUGGUAGUCCGCACUAUAAACGAUGCACACUAGGUGUCGGGACGAGCGUCUCGGCGCCGGAGCGAACGCGAUAAGUGUGCCGCCUGGGGAGUAUGCCCGCAAGGGUGAAACUCAAAGGAAUUGACGGA
rnacentral:rRNA from 1 species